rnacentral:lncRNA from 1 species
UUGGCUUUGGCAUCAGUAGACUCUACGACUCUGAGUGUAGUCUACGUUUCUAUCUUGACUUCGGCAGAUGACUGGUCGGCUCGUAGGCAGGCUGUCUCUACGAUUCUGAACAUGACUUCCUCAGCACACUACGAUCCCAAGGAAGCUCUACUCGAUACACUACGAUCCUUCUUCGUUUCCCCUGGCAGUCUACGAACUCCGAGAUCUACUAUCUUGCAUACUCCUAUUCUGCCUCGAUAGCUCUCGAGUUAACCUUGACUCACCUGGCAGACUACGACUUCUGGUGCAGUGCUCGACGAUCAGACUAGCUUAUCUAUUACAUCAUUAGAUCAACCUAACAAGCUUGAUCUCUCUAUAUUUAUAGUCCUUGUACAUCAUUUCUUUUUAAGGACUUUACAAAGCUGUUUUGCUUAUGUAAGAUCAACCUAACAUAUUUGAUCAAUUCAUUCUAAGUCCUUGUACAUAUAUUUCUAUUGUCUAUCAAAGGACUUUACAGCUUUUCUUAAUGCAAGCAUACUUGCAUAUUAUUCAUUCAUAUAUGUAUAUAUCAUAAUCAAAUCAUAUAUAAAUAGGAAUAGCAUUCACAUGCAUAUUCCUGACAAUCUCCCACUAUUUGAUUAUGACAAAAAUAAUAAGUACAUAUGCAUGUUAUGAAUGAACCUUAUAUACAGUGAGCAGUUGUAUUUCUAAGACAGUUAAUCAUGAAUGUCAUUUAAAUUGAUGUGGCAAUUUAUAUAUUAAGACAAUCUACAUCCUGGAUCCAGAACAUACCUAUCUAGUUAGAGAUGUACCUCUUUGGCUCCAUGUAUGUUUCCAGGAUGCUUGUUGAUCAGCUACUCAUCUGAUUGGUCUUCUUUUUCUUGCUCCACCUGGGAUGAUGACAUUUUGUCUUUGCUUGGGUCCUCUUCAGCAUCUUCCUGAUCAGGCUCCCCCUCAGAAUUUGCAAUCUUGUUAUCAUCAUCUUCUGGCUCCCCCUAUGAUCAUGACUCUUUAUCUGCAGCUGCUUUUUUCUUCUUUGACUUCUUCUCCCUUAACCCUCUGCUCUUCCUUGAGUGCCUCUUGCUCCUCUUCUUUCUAUGCCUCUUUUUCUCUCCCUUUUUGUCAUCAAUCAUUUGAGAGAGCUGCUCCAUGUUGGACAUAAGCUGCUCCAUCAGGUAGGAGGAGUUGGCAACUUCAAACUUUAGUUCUUGAUGUCCUAGCUCAAGUUGCACUGAGAAGGUCUGCCUCAUAUCAUCAAUCUUGUCAGAGAGGGCUUCGAUCUGCUCUGCAUUGGCCUUCUAAAUUUGUAGAGCUUCUUCCUUCUGAUCUUGUAUGGCCUUUUGAUAGAUGUUAUCUCUCUCUUGGAGUUUAAGAGAUACAUCAGCCAAGAUAUCUUGAAGCUUAUGCUUGAAAGAAUCAUCUCCUGCAGCUGUCUUCUUAUGUGAUUCUUCAGUGAGCAUAGAUAUCUUAGAAGCUUUCUCAUGCUUGACACCAAGAUGGCUUUUGUGAUCUUCCUUCUACUACUUGAUGCCUUCUCAUGAUGGACUUGCUAAGAUGACUGUAGGCUCUUCUCUAUUGUACUUAGAGUCUUCCCAUGAUGGACACCAAGAUGACAUAAUGCUCUUUUUUCUCUCGGCAGUUCUGAACACUCUUCAUGUAGUAGAACUCUAACUUCUACAUAGUAGAACUCACACUUCUACUUCUUUCUUUAUCUGACUUCUGAGUGUUCUUGGUGGAUCGUAAAGUGAACCUUCUGACUCACUGUUUCACAUGUUUUAGAUCAGUCCACCUUCUCUCCAAACUCGGCAACUCCAGCAACCUUUGAUCUUUGAAGCUCUUCCUUAUUUAUACUCCUUCCCAAUCCUUCCGUUGGAAAGUAGCCGUUGAAGGCUAUUCAAAUCUCUUCACAGAUCUCGAGUUGCUUGAGGUAGACUGCUUGACGUGACUUGUCAUACUUUUUCUGACGCUGCAGUCUACUGUUUCACCUACCCUGUUAGAUGUAUCACUUUAAUGUCUUGGGCAGGUUGAAGACUUUAUUACCUCUUUUUGAUUUCUCGAUUAGAGCUUGUCCUAUUGCAUCGAUGCUCUCAAUAAGCACUUGUCCAAAUAUUACCCUUCAGAUUGAACCUUUGCCAAUGCUUCAAUCUUCAGUUAUUCGGACUCUACGAUUCUGAUGCAUGUCUUUAAGGACUCGAUCGUAGUGUCUUGUUGAGUGUUGAUCAUUGACUGGUAGAAUUAACACUACGAUCUUGAAAAGUGUUGAUUGGAUCUUCAAUGUAGAACAUCUCUUCCUUGUAUUGUGCAGUGCUUCAAUACUUCUAUUUGCCUCAACUGCUCUUAGAGACUGAUGGCCUAAUUCCUUGUUCUGGUCCCCUUCUGAAUAUCAAGACACUUCAGAUUUGUGGCGCGUCUAGCUUGUUUUCUCCUUGUGAUCUCCCGUUCACUUAUCAUCAAUUAACUGACCCUGCACUUAAUCACUUUAGCCUUGCUCUUGAGAGGCUGACCAGUAUCUCGGUUCACCUUCCAUCAGUUCGUUCUUUGUUUGGCAAACAUUAUGAUCUUGGUUGCUUCCAAGAUCGUUGUCUUCUGUUCACUUGAUAGCUACUGCAUAAGCUGACUUUCCUUGGUCAGCUUCUGAAGUCUUCUUUGGAUUUCCUUGUGGAAGACUUCAUCACGAAUGGCCUUACAACUCAAUCUUGAUGCUUAUUAGGUUGGUGCUUAGAUCUUCUGUGAGCCUGCAUGCCAUUCGUUGAGUGUUCUCUGGAUUCCUUGGAUGUAGCUUGCAGCUUGAACCAAAGGUUUCGUUCCUUUGGAUAUUCUGGGAGUGCUCAUAUGUUGAGAACCGUAUAUGCUCUACGAUUCUUCCUUGGCACUGUGAGCACUUCUGUUGAGGUCGUAGUUCUGCACUCUACGAUUCAGCUUCGGCUGGUGCAGACACUACGAUCCCGAGAUCAGAUCUUGACACUCUACGAUGUCUGCCUUGUGCUUGUUGUCUUCAUCUGAUCUUGCUUGACUACGAUCUCUGCAUGUAAUCAAUAAACUCUAUGAACUCAGAGUGUGAUCUACGAUCCUUGACUUGGCUUUGGCAUCAGUAGACUCUACGACUCUAAGUGUAGUCUACGUUUCUGUCUUGGCUUCGGCAGAUGACUGGUCGGCUCGUAGGCAGGCUGUCUCUACGAUUCUAAACAUGACUUCCUCAGCACACUACGAUCCCAAGGAAGCUCUACUCGAUACACUAUGAUCCUUCUUCGUUUCCCCUGGCAGUCUACGAUCUCCGAGAUCUACUAUCUUGCAUAUUCCUAUUCUGCCUCGAUAGCUCUCGAGUUAACCUUGACUCACCUGGCAGACUACGACUUCUGGUGCAGUGCUUGACGAUCAGACUAGCUUAUCUAUUACAUCAUUAGAUCAACCUAACAGGCUUGAUCUCUCUAUAGUUAUAGUCCUUGUACAUCAUUUCUUUUUAAGGACUUCACAAAGUUGUUUUGCUUAUGUAGGAUCAACCUAACAUAUUUGAUCAAUUCAUUCUAAGUCCUUGUACAUAUAUUUCUAUUGUCUAUCAAAGGACUUUACAGCUUUUCUUAAUGCAAGUAUACUUGCAUAUUAUUCAUUCAUAUAUGUAUAUAUCAUAAUCAAAUCAUAUAUAAAUAGGAAUAGCAUUCACAUGCAUAUUCCUGACAGAAUCUUUAUUCAUUGACCAUUGACAGAACACUACCUGAAUGUUGAAUCACUUGAUAUGUCUAUAUAUUCCACUGUGUUUUACAAAAAUACAUACCUUCUUUUGGUCUUGAUUCAUAGCAAGGUGUCUUUCCUUCAUUUAUUUCAAUAAGACAAACUGACAUCACAUCAUUAUUCAUGUUAUCCACCUUCAGAUCAGAGUGCUGGAGUUUAUUGUUGUGCCUAGAUCUACAACGACCUUUUUCCACAAAAGCAGGGUCAGAACUUCUCUUAUGCAUUAUUUGUCUACAAGAUCAAGCUCAGUUUCUGGAAUACCUGAUUCACCCAAAUGGCAUAAGCAGAAAUUCAAUCACAAAUUCAACAUUAUAAAAGACAAUUUAAAAUCAGACAAUAUCCAAUUAGUCUUAUAUCCAAUUCCAAAAGUUUUGUCUUAAUCAUUUCUUGAUAUGGGCUAUGUAUUCUGUAAUUUGUUAAGGGAAUUUCAAUUUGUUUAGACAUAUGCGGAAUGAACUAUCUGACUUAUGUAUCUCUAUCUGCUAUACAGACAUUCCAACUGCCUUCCCCUCACAUCCCUCUGAUCUCAAACAAAUAAAUCCCCACUUGUGUAACAUAUACCCAAGAAAAAACUGUGUGGCCGGAACUCUCUCCUUAUUGAUGUGUAAAGCUCCUUAUCCACACAUCAUAAAGUUUGAAGAGUUUCAGCUCUUUAUUUGUUGCAAAGUUUCAAUGUUAAACAAGGGAAAUAAUUGUUCUGCAUCCUAAACUUGGAUUUUAAAAAAAGUCCCCAACUGGGGAAAUUAGCUGCCCUCAAGCCCCCAAAUUAACACUAUAGCAACACCAUUAAACUAUUCAUGUAAAGACACGCUUUUUCAGUAUACCAAAUCCGCAAAUGACUGAAUGAGAUGAAUUGAAAGAAUCACACUCAAUAAACCCUAGAAAAGCUAAAAGUUGAAAAUUUCAAACCAAUAUAUUCGUGUGAGUAUAUAGAUGUAUGGAUAAUUAUGCAUAGAUACAAAUUCUUACAUGUGGAUAAGCACAUAAAUACACACCUAUAUACAAAGAGAGAGGGAAGGUGACCUUUUCGCGAUCGACGGGUUCGAAGCGAGGGCCAGAUUUAGCAGUAGGAUGGGGAUGAAAAGGAGGUCCUGGUGGGCCCCGACCCGAUUGAGGAUUCGGUCUCCCUCCUCUUCUUUGCCUCAGAUCGAACGUACACCAAAUAAGAACACAAUCAAAGAGUAGAUAGAGAGAAGGAAAACUAAAGAGAGAGAAGGAAAAUCGGAGAGAGAAGGAAAAAUGAAGAGAAAGAGAAAGAGUACGUCUUUUAAUUAAGUUUUCCAGUUUUUUGCUCCGUUUUUUAGAUAGAC